GAUCCCUGCAGGUCCCUGGCUGCGUCCUUGGGCAUCCACAGCUCAGCCUUUGCUCCAGCACAGGCCUGGCACAUCAGCUGCCAGUCUAAAAGGUUCUCCAGCAAAUAAUCCAAGUGCUAGAAGGCACAAAUCCAAGCUCCAGGUGAUAUUCCAUGCUGGAAGACAGAAAAAACCCACCCCCAAACCGAUGAAUUUAUAUGCGUGUGCGUGUUCCCAAGUGCAGAACUGAGGCUCCUGCUCACGAACCUCGUCAGAUUUAGCAACUAAAAAAAGAAGUGGCUUCAAGAGUGGGAAUUUCUGGGAGGAACUGGAGUGAGGGAAAAGCGAUGCCUGAGGGGGGUGGUUUAAGGAUAAAUCCAGCUGGGAUCAGGAAUCACAACCCCUCAGUGACCAGCAUAUUAACACUGACCGAAUAAUUAAAUAGACCCAGUAAAAAUAAACCAUUUCAAGCGAAAUAGAGAAAUAGCAGGAAAAAAAACGGAACGUUUGGAAUGUUUCUGCUUCCCAAAAAAGGCACAUUUUGAUUUUUUUCGGAGGUUUCAGUGUUUACAGCUUCAACAGCCUCUCCUUUUUUAAUGGAGCAAUUCAAUUAAAAGUCGCCAGAACAACAGCAACACCCCACAAAACUGGUCAAAUCCAGUCCCCUGCCCCACUCCAAAGCCCCCCAGCUGGGAAAAUUUGGGUUGUUUUACAGGAAACAGCUGAGCAUUUCGGAGAUUGGGGGAGAAAGAGAGGGAGAGGGGUCAUGGAGAAGCCUCCAGUAAUGAAAACAUCACUGCAUGAGCAAACUGAAAGGGUGCCCAAAAGCCAAACAAAAUUCAUAUCCAGGGCCAUCAGUGAUGGAUUUUCUAGCCCCAGGAAUAUUCCCCUCUGAUAAAUGAUGAGGACAGAACUCCGGGGUGGUGCCAAGGUGAAUUGUUUGGCUGUAAUUAAUUGAAUUAGUAAGAAACGAAAUAAAAAAGUAAAAAAAAAAAGGGGGGGGGAA